rnacentral:rRNA from 1 species
GAUGAACGCUGGCGGCGUGCCUAAUACAUGCAAGUCGAGCGAACGGACGAGAAGCUUGCUUCUCUGAUGUUAGCGGCGGACGGGUGAGUAACACGUGGAUAACCUACCUAUAAGACUGGGAUAACUUCGGGAAACCGGAGCUAAUACCGGAUGAUAUUUUGAACCGCAUGGUUCAAAAGUGAAAGACGGUCUUGCUGUCACUUAUAGCUGGAUCCGCGCUGCAUUAGCUAGUUGGUAAGGUAACGGCUUACCAAGGCAACGAUGCAUAGCCGACCUGAGAGGGUGAUCGGGCACAAUGGAACUUAGACACGGUCCCGACUCCUACGGGAGGCAGCAGUUGGGAAUCUUCCGCAAUGGGCGGAAGCCUGACGGCGCAAAGCCGCGUGAGUGAUGAAGGUCUUCGGAUCGUAAAACUCUGUUAUUAGGGAAGAACAUAUGUGUAAGUAACUGUGCACAUCUUGACGGUACCUAAUCAGAAAGCCACGGCUAACUACGUG